CCUGGAACUACCAUAGAAGACAGUGAAGAAGCUAGACGCUUAUUUCAUUUAGCAGAUAAAAAUCAAGACUUUCUAUUAAAUCCUGACGAAAUGCAUUCCGUCUUUUUAGACUUCGACUUAAACAGUAAGUAACAUAACCUUUAAAUAGACUUAUUACGAAGGGAUAGAGUUACGAUACUGUUGUCAGGUCAUUAAAGAUUGCAUAUUUUGGCGUUUAUAUUGAUUCCCUUAUAGGGUCUUUGCAUCGAAACUACACACAUUUAUUUAGAAACCAAUUGUUUGCAUGACACGGGUUAUGGCCAUCUCCUAUACUAGUAUGUUACGAUGGUAUGAUACUAAACCCCUAACGGGAAGGAUUGUGCCUGAUAUUCAUAUGAUGAAAACAUAAUCUUUUAGUCAGUUUAAUUGAAGUCUGGAGCUGGCAUGUCAGUUUUCUGCUAGUAGAGUUUGUUAUUUAUGUAUUAUUGUCAUUUUGGUUUAUUUUCUUUGGUUACAUCUUCUGACAUCAGACUUCGGACUUCUCUUGACUGAAUUUAAUGUGCGUAUUGUUCCGUUUACUUUUCUACAUUGACUAGAGUAUAGGGGAGGGUUGAGAUCUCACAAACAUGUUUAACCCCGCUUUUUUGCACCUGUCCCAGUCAGGAGCCUCUGGCCUUUGUUAGUCUUGUAUUAUUUUUAAUUUUACUUUCUGUGUAAAUUUGGAAAUUUAGUAUGGCGUUCAUUAUCACAGAACUAGUAUUCAUUUGUUUAGGGGCCAGCUGAAGACGCCUUCGGGAGCGGGAAUUUCUCGCUGCAUUGAAGACCUGUUGUUGACCUUCUGCUGUUGUCUGUUCUAUGGUCGGGUUGUUGUCUCUUUGAAAAAUUUCCCAUUUCCAUUCUCAAUGUUAUGUUGUAUAUUUUUUUAAUUUUCUGUUUAAAACAUUUCGAGAGAAAUAAUACACGAAAAUUCAGGAAGAACUUGUAUUUAUUGAGGUAGAAAUAUUCCGUUGUCAUGAUUUCUAAGAGUUUUUAAUCUUCACCCACUGGAUAACAAAUUCUGCUUGACUUAUAUGUCCAUCAACUGAAAAAUAGAUAUUAUAUGAAAUUAAACAGAAUACUAAGGGUUAUUUGCUCCUCUUGUUUUUUUUUUUAUAUUUUUGUCAGAUAUUCGGAUUCCUCUGAUUUUAUCCAUUUAGUGCCAUAAAAAAAAUCCCCGCGAACCCUUACUUUUCUUUAAUUGUUUAAUUAAACAUGUAGUUUGAAAAGCCAUAUUUUGAAAUACUAUCAAAUCCUUGUUCAAGAUGGCGAAAGACACCCGGCCUACCUUAAAAGUAGAGAAAUUUCAAAGUCACAUAUUCCAUCUCUUUAGAAAAUUUUAUUUUGUCAAACUUAAUCAAACCUAAAUUCUUUACUUUUAAUGUAGUAUGGGUGUCUGCCGCCAUAUUGGAUUGUAAAGCAGAACCAAUUAUGUCUUUGAAACCCAACAGAGUUGCAUGAUGUACUCAUUUUUUUACAGGUAACUUCCAGUAAAAAAGUUACUUACGAUCUCUGUCAAAGAAGUGCAUAAUGAAGGGCAUAUCUGGAUUCUCGCUGAUAUAGCCACUGUUAUCAACAUCAAGAUGAUGGAAUAAUGUAACAGCCUCUAAUGCUGUUCCCAAAUUGCCCGUUAACCAGUCGUUGAUAAAUUCGUCCACAUAGAUAUGCGUAUCAUCUAUAAGAGUAAGAAACAGAGUCAGAUGAAUGGUGAUAUAUAUACUUUCUGUAGUAAAAAUAAUGGUACCGAAAAAUGUUUUUGAUAGGCAGAAAAUAGGGGGCAACACUUUUCUCUGACUUGUUCCAAGGAAAUGGGAAUCGAAUUUUUUUGACAAAAUUUCUGACAAUGCGGACAAAGAUUAGUUGGCUCUGUCACCUGUUUUUGCCGACUAUUGGAUGAAAUGAGCUGUCACAAAUAGUUUAAUUUUUCGUAAAGUUUUCAUACUAUUUGAUGACUUAUGCUCUUUUGAUAUUUGAGACGACAGAAUAUAGGUCAAUAAAAUAGUAGAUAUAUGUCUCCCAUAAAAAUUGUGGAUUUGUAUAAUUUUACACUUUAAGGUAUAAAUUGCCAAAUAUUGAUGACACUGAAAGAGUAACGGCAUUAAGUAUUUAUAAAUAAUGCAUCGUAUUAGUUGUAUGGCUGCAGAUUAAAUUAGAGUGUCAAUGUAUGUCUUUUACAACUGAAGGCUCACUGCUGGUGAAAUAAAAGGUAAUAUAUAAUGAUACCAAAGCUACAGUUAAAAGGUAAGAGAGAAAUAUAAUUGUUUAUUGUAUAUAAACAAAACAAAGAAUGAAGUUACUUUUCGUUGUAUAUUUCCUCAUGUUGAUACUUUUUAAUUAAGCCGAUGGGUCGAUGCACUGCUGGUGGACGUUUCGUCGAGGGUAUCUCAAAAGUAGUAAACAUUUCAGGUGUUGAAAUGAAUAUCAAUAAUGUGGUCAUUUUUAAAAAUUUUGUUUAAAAAAAUUUGAAUUUUUAAGAAAAACUAAAGAUUUUCUUAUCCCAGGCAUAUAUUACCUUAGCCGUAUUUGGCACAACUUUUGUGGAAUUUUGAAUUCUCAAUGCUCUUCAAUUUUGUACUUGUUUGGCUUUAUAAAUAUGUUGAUAUGAGCGUCACUGUAUGAGUCUUAUGUAGACGAAAGCGCGUCUGGCGUACUAAAUUAUAAUCCUGAUACCUUUGUAACUAAUUAAGCAUGUCAAGCUUUCGUGAAUUUUUACCAUAUGCAUAACUUAUCUUCAGUUUAAGCUUAGUCCGAAUUCAUAAGUUUUCCAAAUUAUUUUUUUUGUUAUCUACAAGCGUUUUAUUUCGUGUCAAUAAUUUCUGCAUAUGGUAAAGUAUAUAACUUUUUUUUUAUACAUUCUGAAUCUUGAAAACAGAAUUUUGUGUUAAUUUUAGAAAUACUUAUUAUUAUUUUCAGAACAAUUGUAUUUGGUAAUCCUGGAACUACCAUAGACGACAGUGAAGAAGCUAGGCAUUUAUUUCAUUUAGCAGAUAAAAAUCAUGACUUCCUGUUAAAUCCUGACGAAAUGCAUUCCGUCUUUUUAGACUUUGACUUAAAUA
rnacentral:lncRNA from 1 species